GACGAACGCUGGCGGCGUGCCUAAUACAUGCAAGUUGAGCGCUGAAGGUUGGUACUUGUACCAACUGGAUGAGCAGCGAACGGGUGAGUAACGCGUGGGGAAUCUGCCUUUGAGCGGGGGACAACAUUUGGAAACGAAUGCUAAUACCGCAUAAAAACUUUAAACACAAGUUUUAAGUUUGAAAGAUGCAAUUGCAUCACUCAAGGAUGAUCCCGCGUUGUAUCAGCUAGUUGGUGAGGUAAAGGCUCACCAAGGCGAUGAUACAUAGCCGACCUGAGAGGGUGAUCGGCCACAUUGGGACUGAGACACGGCCCAAACUCCUACGGGAGGCAGCAGUAGGGAAUCUUCGGCAAUGGACGAAAGUCUGACCGAGCAACGCCGCGUGAGUGAAGAAGGUUUUCGGAUCGUAAAACUCUGUUGGUAGAGAAGAACGUUGGUGAGAGUGGAAAGCUCAUCAAGUGACGGUAACUACCCAGAAAGGGACGACUAACUACGUG
rnacentral:rRNA from 1 species